GGUUAAGCGACUAAGCGUACACGGUGGAUGCCCUGGCAGUCAGAGGCGAUGAAGGACGUGCUAAUCUGCGAUAAGCGUCGGUAAGGUGAUAUGAACCGUUAUAACCGGCGAUUUCCGAAUGGGGAAACCCAGUGUGUUUCGACACACUAUCAUUAACUGAAUCCAUAGGUUAAUGAGGCGAACCGGGGGAACUGAAACAUCUAAGUACCCCGAGGAAAAGAAAUCAACCGAGAUUCCCCCAGUAGCGGCGAGCGAACGGGGAGCAGCCCAGAGCCUGAAUCAGUGUGUGUGUUAGUGGAAGCGUCUGGAAAGGCGCGCGAUACAGGGUGACAGCCCCGUACACAAAAAUGCACAUGCUGUGAGCUCGAUGAGUAGGGCGGGACACGUGGUAUCCUGUCUGAAUAUGGGGGGACCAUCCUCCAAGGCUAAAUACUCCUGACUGACCGAUAGUGAACCAGUACCGUGAGGGAAAGGCGAAAAGAACCCCGGCGAGGGGAGUGAAAAAGAACCUGAAACCGUGUACGUACAAGCAGUGGGAGCACGCUUAGGCGUGUGACUGCGUACCUUUUGUAUAAUGGGUCAGCGACUUAUAUUCUGUAGCAAGGUUAACCGAAUAGGGGAGCCGAAGGGAAACCGAGUCUUAACUGGGCGUUAAGUUGCAGGGUAUAGACCCGAAACCCGGUGAUCUAGCCAUGGGCAGGUUGAAGGUUGGGUAACACUAACUGGAGGACCGAACCGACUAAUGUUGAAAAAUUAGCGGAUGACUUGUGGCUGGGGGUGAAAGGCCAAUCAAACCGGGAGAUAGCUGGUUCUCCCCGAAAGCUAUUUAGGUAGCGCCUCGUGAAUUCAUCUCCGGGGGUAGAGCACUGUUUCGGCAAGGGGGUCAUCCCGACUUACCAACCCGAUGCAAACUGCGAAUACCGGAGAAUGUUAUCACGGGAGACACACGGCGGGUGCUAACGUCCGUCGUGAAGAGGGAAACAACCCAGACCGCCAGCUAAGGUCCCAAAGUCAUGGUUAAGUGGGAAACGAUGUGGGAAGGCCCAGACAGCCAGGAUGUUGGCUUAGAAGCAGCCAUCAUUUAAAGAAAGCGUAAUAGCUCACUGGUCGAGUCGGCCUGCGCGGAAGAUGUAACGGGGCUAAACCAUGCACCGAAGCUGCGGCAGCGACGCUUAUGCGUUGUUGGGUAGGGGAGCGUUCUGUAAGCCUGCGNNNNNNNNNNNNNNNNNNNNNNNNNNNNNNNNNNNNNNNNNNNNNNNNNNNNNNNNNNNNNNNNNNNNNNNNNNNNNNNNNNNNNNNNNNNNNNNNGUACUACGGUGCUGAAGCAACAAAUGCCCUGCUUCCAGGAAAAGCCUCUAAGCAUCAGGUAACAUCAAAUCGUACCCCAAACCGACACAGGUGGUCAGGUAGAGAAUACCAAGGCGCUUGAGAGAACUCGGGUGAAGGAACUAGGCAAAAUGGUGCCGUAACUUCGGGAGAAGGCACGCUGAUAUGUAGGUGAAGCGACUUGCUCGUGGAGCUGAAAUCAGUCGAAGAUACCAGCUGGCUGCAACUGUUUAUUAAAAACACAGCACUGUGCAAACACGAAAGUGGACGUAUACGGUGUGACGCCUGCCCGGUGCCGGAAGGUUAAUUGAUGGGGUUAGCGCAAGCGAAGCUCUUGAUCGAAGCCCCGGUAAACGGCGGCCGUAACUAUAACGGUCCUAAGGUAGCGAAAUUCCUUGUCGGGUAAGUUCCGACCUGCACGAAUGGCGUAAUGAUGGCCAGGCUGUCUCCACCCGAGACUCAGUGAAAUUGAACUCGCUGUGAAGAUGCAGUGUACCCGCGGCAAGACGGAAAGACCCCGUGAACCUUUACUAUAGCUUGACACUGAACAUUGAGCCUUGAUGUGUAGGAUAGGUGGGAGGCUUUGAAGUGUGGACGCCAGUCUGCAUGGAGCCGACCUUGAAAUACCACCCUUUAAUGUUUGAUGUUCUAACGUUGACCCGUAAUCCGGGUUGCGGACAGUGUCUGGUGGGUAGUUUGACUGGGGCGGUCUCCUCCUAAAGAGUAACGGAGGAGCACGAAGGUUGGCUAAUCCUGGUCGGACAUCAGGAGGUUAGUGCAAUGGCAUAAGCCAGCUUGACUGCGAGCGUGACGGCGCGAGCAGGUGCGAAAGCAGGUCAUAGUGAUCCGGUGGUUCUGAAUGGAAGGGCCAUCGCUCAACGGAUAAAAGGUACUCCGGGGAUAACAGGCUGAUACCGCCCAAGAGUUCAUAUCGACGGCGGUGUUUGGCACCUCGAUGUCGGCUCAUCACAUCCUGGGGCUGAAGUAGGUCCCAAGGGUAUGGCUGUUCGCCAUUUAAAGUGGUACGCGAGCUGGGUUUAGAACGUCGUGAGACAGUUCGGUCCCUAUCUGCCGUGGGCGCUGGAGAACUGAGGGGGGCUGCUCCUAGUACGAGAGGACCGGAGUGGACGCAUCACUGGUGUUCGGGUUGUCAUGCCAAUGGCACUGCCCGGUAGCUAAAUGCGGAAGAGAUAAGUGCUGAAAGCAUCUAAGCACGAAACUUGCCCCGAGAUGAGUUCUCCCUGAC
rnacentral:rRNA from 1 species